UUUUAUUUUGACACUGGUUGCCCUUUCUUUAUAUAUAUAUAAAGAAAGGGCAACCAGUGUCAAAAUAAAA